CACUUCCUUUGUUGAGCUUUGUGAGAUUCCCAUUGGCCUGUUGAGAUGUCUCCUAAUGUCAGCACAAUCAUCUGAUGAAUCAUCUGCAAAGUUUCAAAGGGUUCAUUAAUGAAGAUGUUAAACUGUAUGGGGCAUUAACACUUAUUUGUAUGAUCACACUAGGAAAAAGCUUAGUCUGGAAUGGAUUAUAACAAGCUGCUUCUUUUCUUGGUGAAAACCAUGAUUUUAUAAUUGCUUCCUAAGAAAGAUGAGAUGAUAUAACUUUUUCUAAACUAUCCCCCUGUCCCUUUUUUUCCCAUUUUUUCCAAGUAGGAAAACUCAAUACAGUCCCAUUCCUAUCUGAAUGACCUUCCUCAUUUUUCCUCAUAGUUGUUCAUUUUCAUGGUCCAUCUCAUUUACUGCACUUGGCCAGCAAGCCAAUGUCUACCAGCUGCCAGCUGUUCAAAAAAAAUAAAGAGAAGAAGCUUCCAUGGCAGAAGGAGACAAGUUCUGUUAAAAUACUGACCACCUCAAGCUUUGGAAGAGAAGCCCCUGGAAGGAAAAAAAGAUAAAAUUGGUAACUUGACCUUCUCCUAAAGUUGUGAUAUAAAGACACCUGUAGUUAAAGAUGCUGUAUAAAGACACCUGUAGUUAAAGAUGAUCAAUAUUACAGGAUGUAUGGAAGAAUCCAGUGGCAUGGAUUGGCAUGGUCGGUUGGCUUUCCAAGUAUAUUUGCAAUAUUUUUUAAUUAACCACAGUAAAAAACUAUGAAGUUUUCAAAGCUAUAUUUCUGCAUUUAAGCAUGUAAGUAAGGACCUAAAAGCUCUGUAUAUUUUUGUUCCUAUGGAUUUAAUCUUGAUUUCAUGAGAGUAGGUAGCUUUGCAAGUAUGCUGUACCAGAUACUGUUUUCCUUCCAUCAUAUUGAUUUCCACUCUUUAUGACAAACAUCUUGGAUUGUUGGUUCUUCUUGAAAAAGUAUUGCUGCCUAAAGAACUCACUUUACAAUUACUUCUUUUGCCUACUAUCUAGGAUCCUAAUAUUGCUGAUAACAUUUUACUGAAGAAAAUAAAUAGUUCAGGUAAGGAAAAAAGUUCCUUCUGCAUUAUGUUUCCCUGCAUUUUGUUGAAAUCUCACCUUCUAUAACUUGGAAAAGUUAUGGAAAACAUGUCUUGCUUUAUCCUUUAUUUUAGUUUGUCCCUUGUGCUUGUAUUGGGUUUGUGUGGCUUGGUUUGGUUUGUCUGUCUGUGAGAAGCUGCCAGAAGCUUCCCCCAUGUCUGACAGAGCCAAUGCCAGCCAGCUCCAGGAUGGACCUGCCACCGGCCAAGGCAGAGCCCAUCAGUGGUGGUGGCAGGAAUUCUGGGAUAGCAUAGUUAUGAAAGUGAAAAUGUUGCUGCACAACACCAGCAGCAGUCAUGAGAGAGGAGUGAGAAUAUGUGAGAAGAACAACUCUGCAGACACCAAGGUCAGUGGAGAAGGAGGGGGAGGCGGUGCUCCAGGUGCUGGAGCAUAGAUUCCCUUGCAGCCCGUGGUGAAGAGCAUGGUGAGGCAACUGUGCCCCUGUAGCCCAUGAAGGUGAUGGUGGAGAACAUAUCCACCUUCAGCCUCUGGAAAAACCCCAAAUUAUAGCAGGUGGAUGCCUGAAAGAGGCUGUGGGAAGAUCCUGUGAGAAGCCCAUGCUGGAGAAGUUCUACAGCACGGUUUGUGAAGAACUGCAGCUUGUGGGAAGGAAUCACAUAGGAGAAGAUUAUGGAGAAUUGUCUCUUAUGGGAGGGACCCUACACUGGAACAGGGGGAAGACUGUGAGUCCCCCCUGUAGAGGAAGGAGUGGCAGAGACAAUGUGUGAUGAACUGACUGCAACUUUCAUUUCCCAUCCCCCUGUGCUGCUGGUGGGGAGAAGGCAGAGAAUUUGGGAGUGAAGCUAAGCCCAUGAAGAAUGCGGAGGGAAUGUAUUUUAAGAUUUGGUUCUAUUUCUCAUUACCCUACUCUGAUUUGCUUGGUAAUAAAUUAAACUAGUUUCCUUGA